AUAUCGUACGAUUUGUUCUUCACGUUCAAUAAGCUUGACCCAACUCUCGACAGGAAAACAACGCGAUAUUUUCCUGCAGUUUACACGCGCCACUUCUCGGUAAGUAGACUGUCACGCGGUGUCCCGGUGUUCUGUAUAAAGUCCAUUAUAUGCUCUUAAUUAAUCAGAUAGGCUCUUUAAUGUUUGCUGGAUUUUGUCAGUCAUUUUCUACUAUUUUUUUUUUACAAAAAAAAAAAAAAAAAAGCAGCAUAUACUGCUAGCUGGGGUAAGUUAAUUAAACGUUAGCGUUAGCUUGCACUGAUCUUCGAUCAGUUUAUGAUGUCCAUAUUGGUGGAAUUAAUGGGUAACCGCCCAUUACCACUGUACUUCUGUUACAGCACCAUAACAGCAACCCUUACUGUGCUUUUACCAUAGCUACUGUGGUUCUACUGUUGUAUUUUGUAGCUAAAACACAAACAGUUAUCACAAUGACUGUAGUUCUAACUUGUGUAUUGUAAAAGCAUAGUUAAAAACACUUGCCUUCAUGGUAAAUCCUUUUAUAUAAAAUUGUAAUGUAAUUGAAUAUUUUUCUGUCUUGCAGUUACUUCAGAUCCCAUUCCAUUCACCCUUUCAUCUAUUCCAUCUACUCUACAAUCCAACCCAACGGCUCUUUUAAGAGCCAUCAUUAGCAAAAGCUCUAAUUCUCUCUCUCUCCCACACACACACACACACACACACACACACACACACACACACACACACACACACACAAACUAACACACACUCCCCCCCUCCCCCCCACACACACAUAAACUAACACACACUCUCUCUCCCAAACACACUCUCUCUCUCUCUCUCUCUCUCUCACACACACACACACACACACACACACACACACACACUCUCACGGUUGCCUUCACCCUCUGUCCCUCUUUUUUUCCUAGGCCUUCUGUCUGUCUUCUCACUUUUCUUUCCCCAUUUCUUUUUGCAUUCUUUCUUUAUCUUCAGUAUGGCAUCUUGUCAGAAUUCAGGUUUUGACCAGUUAUGUCAGGAAGCUGCAAAUAUUACAAAGGAGCUUGAACUCAAAGCUGCCAGUGCUGCACUUGAAGCAGCUACCAGGGAGGCUGAACAAAUUCUGCAAACGUUUAAUCUUCCACCACUAAAUAAAAGGAAGACCAAACGUGCCUGCAGCAGCCUCCUCAAACCAGUCUCUUUU
ensembl:lncRNA